UGAGUUGGUCGGAUGAUUGCCCUAAUAACAUUGUUAUUUGGGAGGAAAGUCCGGGCACUGCAGGAUAGGGUGCCCCAUAACGCGGGGAAUCCGUGAGGAUAUGGAAAGUGCAGCAGAAAGUAAACCGCUUUGAACUAGUUUUGAAGUAAGGGUGAAAGGGUGGUGUAAGAGACCACCAGUUUUUGUGGCGACAUAGAAAGCUUGUAAACCCCACCCAGUGCAAGACCGAAUAGGCUCUAAGACGUUAUCCGCGUUGUUUGAGGAGCGGGUAGGUUGCUCGAGGCGGUUGGCAAUAAUCGUCCCAGACGAAUGAUCAUCAAACUCAUUUAUAUGAGUGAACAGGACUCGGCUUAUAGACCGACUCAAUUC
rnacentral:RNase_P_RNA from 1 species